rnacentral:misc_RNA from 1 species
CGGCCAGUACGCGCACGCCUACCGCCAGUACGCGCCGCAACACCUCAGGUACUUCCCGCUGAACACGGCGCUGGCGGCGCCGCCGGCGGUCGCGUCGCCUCCGGAGUCCAGCUCGGAGUCGGACGGCGAGUGGGGCAGCAGCUCCUCCUCCGACUGCGACACCGACGCGCUGCGCGGAGCUAAGAGAAAAAAGCUUACGAAGAGCAAGCGCAACAGCCAGGCGGAGGGCUCGACGGCGAGCAAGGAGGACGAGGCGGUGGACACGUGCCGCGUCUGCAAGCUGCGCCUCGAGGCCAACCGCAAGUACACGCACGAGCGCUUCCUCGUCUGCGCCAACUGCAACGCCAAGCUGCACCCGUCGUGCGUGGAGCUGGGCCCGGACACGAUCCGCAAGGCGCGCGAGUACGCGUGGCAGUGCGCCGAGUGCAAGACGUGCGGCGCCUGCGCGCGCCCCGCCGACGACGACAAGAUGCUGUUCUGCGACCUGUGCGACCGCGGCUUCCACAUCUACUGCGUGGGCCUGCCCGCCGUGCCCACCGGUCGCUGGCACUGCGUGGAGUGCGCCGUGUGCAAGUCGUGCGGCGCGCGCGAGCCGGGCGG